rnacentral:rRNA from 1 species
UACGAAGGGGGCUAGCGUUGCUCGGAAUCACUGGGCGUAAAGGGUGCGUAGGCGGGUCUUUUAAGUCAGGGGUGAAAUCCUGGAGCUCAACUCCAGAACUGCCUUUGAUACUGGGAAGCUCGAGUCCGGAAGAGGUGAGUGGAACUGCGAGUGUAGAGGUGAAAUUCGUAGAUAUUCGCAAGAACACCAGUGGCGAAGGCGGCUCACUGGCCCGAUACUGACGCUGAGGCACGAAAGCGUGGGGAGCAAACAGGG